GAGCCAGAGGGAACUUGGAGGAGGAGGAGGAGGAGGAUGGGUGAUGCAUGGCUGCAGCACAUCGGGUGCUGCUCUCGCACAAUUUACAGCAUUUGCAGCAGCACCGGAGCUCCUGACCCGAGCUCUGCUCCGGAGAGGGGCAGGGUGGCUGUGGGGCAGGCCCAAACGCGCCGUGUCUAAUCGCGAGCUCAAAGCCUUCACCAUCAAACCUUCAGCUCUUCACAGUCUAAUUACAACUUGCCUGGUGCAUUGGUUACGAUGAGCAAUGAAGAUAUAAUCACUGCUGUUAUUUGUCCUUCCUGGCUCCAGCUGUUAAAACAAUUCCUCCUUCAUAGCCCAGCCAAUUUCAUGGCUCUGAUGCGUCCCCGCCGCUCCCAGCCCGCUCCCGCAUCCCAUGCGUCGGGCGCGAGGCACCACAAUCUCCAUGAAAGCAGCCUAUUUCCUGCAUGAAGCCCGUGAAAUUGGGAAGAUAAUAUUUUCAGAGCUGCUGGUACCCUGAUUGCAUGUUUGUUUGAAAUGACAGUUUAUGUUGUCUCUCUCUUUCAUUAGGGAGGUUCAGCGAUCGCGAUGUUAUUAACUAACAACAGCACUCACUGCAUAUAAACAUGAUUCCGCAGAGACACUCCAAGGAGCACUUGAAGGCAGAGGGGAGGGAGAUUGAGAAGGAAGAGAGAUGCUGUGCUUCUUGCCUUUUUUCCCCCUCUCUCCUUCCACUGGAAGGAAGGCUUGGAAGGGAUUUUUAGCUAGAUGAGAAGCUCAGAAGCGUUUCGUUUUGUACUGAGAUUCCCUGACAGCGAUGGGGAGCGGAACACCGACUCUCCAGUGUAAGAUGUCUGGCAAUUCCUGCAGCGCUGCGCUCUGCCAGGGCUCGAGGACUUCCGAGAAGCUGCUCCCUGCCUACAGACUGCUGAGCAAGAUGGCUCUGAAACAAACCCUCACAUCUCCAAAUGCUCGCUGCUGGCAGGGCGCAGGCUUGAUCCGCUCUCCAUGCCCUGAAGGUGGAGAGAUGAGGGUCUGCCUGUUCUCUUUCCAACUCAAAUCAUCCUUCAGAGCGGGCUGAGCUGCACGCAGUGGGAUGCACCGUGCCUUGCUGUGGCUGCCUCCCGGGGUCUGCAGCAUCUCCCGUAGCAGGUCCUGCCUCCACCUGGUACCCCUCGCAGCAAUACCUCUGCACCAGACAAAUGUUGUCACUUAAUUAACACAGCAUGACUGCAGCCCAGGCAGGCGCUAGCUGGAGCCUCAUCGCCAGCGCUGUGAAAUCCUCUCUGACAGGGCUGCCUUGCCUGGGGUCUGCGAGGAAAGCCGUGCCUACAGGCUUGUCUUCCUGCACCUUAUUGAUGGGAAUCGAUGUGGGCUAGCAAAACUCUUCCUUGGGGUCAGGGGAGAGCAGGGAUUUUCUUUUUCUCAGAUCUCCUAAGUUAAGAAUGUGCCUGGAUGCUGAGUUGCUGGGGUUUUCAUGGAGCUGUGGCUUCCUGGGGUGCACUAAAAGCCUUGUUGUGCUGCCUAGGGGCAAUAGGGCUGCAUGAGCAUCAUCUUCCCCCAGGCAGCUGGCAGCGUGGGCUCAAGGCUAAAAAAAAUCCCCAUGGCUGGGGGCUGGAGGCUGGUAGUGAGGAUGCGAUGAAGCAAUUCAGCUUUGGCAGCUGCCCUGGGGAAUAGCUGAGAGAGGCAGCCCUAACCGUGGUGGCAGCGUGUCUGGGUGGGCAGACAAAUCGUCGGUAUCCUGAGGAAGCGUAAAACAGUCUGGAGGAAACGUGAGAUUUGGUGGUAAACCCUCAGCUCAGAAAACAGAGGAGACGCUUAAACUGUCAGGGCUGGGGCUUGUUGCAGGGGUUUUGCCCUUAUCUCUCUCCUGUCUGCAUGGUGGAAGAACAAGAUGAAUCGUUUUGGCGCGUGCAUCAGCACCCGAGAGGCAUCGCGGAUGCGCUGCUGAUUUCCCAUGCUGCUGGUGCUGCCUCUUAUUAAACAUAAAUGGCUGUGGAACGGGCUGGGGGGGUUAUCUAUUCUGAGGUAUGGAGCUUGUUUUAAAUGGAGCCAGCAAAGUUGCUGGUAGCCAGGGCUGCCCAUUAUAAGAUCCUGUUUCCAGUGAGUUAACUCUCUGCCAAGUGAUAAUUGUUCAGGCUAAAAAUUUCCAUGCUGCAAGUCUGCCUCAGGCUAUAUGAAAUUGGGGAACGGGGACCUUUUUUUUUUUUGUGUCUCUUUAAAACAGGAGGAGGAAAAAAUAAGUUUGCAACAGAGCUGAAGGGAUCCAGUCUCUCCAUGAGAUGGAGGCAGAGACUUGGAGUUUGGCAGGGGAAUGUGAAGGUUGUGCAGAGCUGGGAUUCAGCGGCGGGCAGGAGCAGGAAGAGGAGAGCUGGGUCUGGAAUAACCAUCAACCACAAGGCCAGGAGAGGCUGGUGAGCUCCUCGGAUCCUGGUUUCCGGCAGCCUGUGGCCUGGGGACUUGCUGAGCUAGACGUGAGCUUCAGCUCCUGCUCAGAAGCCCCGUUCUCCACGAGUCUGAUCUCUUUCUGACCUUGCACGCAAUUCUGCCUUCCGCAUCACCCCGUCGCAACAAGUUUGACAAGCUAAUGAGGUGUGUGUGUGUGCAGAGAAAGCGUUUCCUUUGGUUUUGCACUCGAACCCACAAAAACAGCUCCUGAACUUCAGACCUACCCAUCUCCCACGGCGCUGGUGGGGGAAACCAGGGGGCCGCGUCCUUCCCCUGCCCCCUGGAGGGACGCUGGCCGUGGUGGUACCCAAAGCCCCCUCCCCGGGCGAGGCGGGGGGCUGGCGUCGGGUGGUGUCAGUGCCUCCUCGCGUGCGCCAGCUGAUUAGAAAGCAGAAGAAUGGCAAGAGAAAAUGAAAAUGGGAAGGAGCUUGACAGCCCAUGGAGAGGUAUUUCAGCUGCAAUACAAAACAUUUGGUGGUAAUUAUAGAAUAACCUUCAUUUAAAUGCAAAUAAGCCUGUAAUUAAGAUAAGGGCUCUGUCAUUUGCCAGUAUUCCUCCUUCACUCCCUUGCCUGCCAUGGGUUUUGAGACGUUCCCCAUCUCGCUGCAGAGCUGCCUGCUUGCCCGAGGGCUCCCGUGGCAAGGGAUGGGGGCGUUUGGGUGUCACCGAGACGCAAAUCUUCCCCCUGGGCCGUGCUGUUGUCUGCACCGGGCACGUGAUGCUCAGCAGGGGCUGCAGGUGCAGAGCUCCUGUGCCUUGUCUGGGGAGAGCCUGGAGCUGAGCUGGGAGUCCACGUUCCAAAACAGGCCACGGUGCUGGCCACUUCCCGCUGCAACGCUGCUUGCACCUCACGUUUGAGUAGAGAACUUCCAGCUUUACUUGCGUCUGGGGCUUCGCUAGGAGAAAAAGAUGCUACCAAGAUGCUAGGAAGUCAAUAAAGAUGUAUUGUUAGGUUGAGCUGGAGUGAAUUGCACGUGUACGUCCAGACGCAGCGUAGUAAUCAUAUUUUGGCACUCCAUCCUGGAAGUAUCAAUGUCACCAGCACCGAGAAGCCUGCAGGUGAUGACUUACACUGAUUUUUCCCGGCAGUACACGGGGAGGCAGCUCCCUGCAGGUGCUUGCCAGGAGCCCUUGGGUGCCGCAGCUUGCAGCGGGGCUCCCUGCUGCCCCGCUCCCAUGCGGACGGGCACCAGAGCACGGCGAAGCUCUGGGAACAGCCGUCGCUGGAAAGGUUAGCCAGCAACCUUUGCUUAAACUGUCUCAAUCUGUAUGAAAUGUUAUCUCUCCGCCUGACUAAAGAUAUGUGAGCCGAGGGAGCGGAGAUGCUCCCAGAUUGUAUUUAUCUAGCCCUUUGAAAGGGCAUUUGAGAAAUUAACUCGGCAGCUUAGGAGAACUUUAAUGUUUCGAUAAGUGGCUGGAGCUGCGUCUCCGCUUGACACCCGCCAUGGAGCACCUCCAUCCCGCUUCGGAGGGGGCAAACUCCCCCUGCUGCCACGUGAAAGCUGCCAGCCCCUGGUGCUGUGGGUGCCCCUUUUUCCUGGGUUCUCCCCCCCCCAUCCUGAUGGGAGCCAGCCCUUCUGUCUGGAUCCGUCCCUCGCAGCUGGGAGCGGUGAUGCUCGGGCUGAGCCGCCUUCCCCAAGGCCAUCUGCAUUGCAGAUACCCGUGGAAAUGCUGCCUGGCUUAUUCAUUUAUUCCUUUUCUCUUCUCGUGCCUGUUCUGGAGACUUCUGCAGGUGGCAGAGGAGGAGGGAAGGGCUGGGUGGGCACAGACCCCGUUCUGGUGGCAGUGG